rnacentral:rRNA from 1 species
AUUGAACGCUGGCGGCAUGCCUUACACAUGCAAGUCGAACGGCAGCACGGGUGCUUGCACCUGGUGGCGAGUGGCGAACGGGUGAGUAAUAUAUCGGAACGUACCUUAUUGUGGGGGAUAACGCAGCGAAAGCUGUGCUAAUACCGCAUAAUCCCUAAGGGGGAACGCGGGGGACCGUAAGGCCUCGCGCAAUUAGAGCGGCCGAUACCUGAUUAGCUAGUUGGUGAGGUAAAGGCUCACCAAGGCAACGAUCAGUAGCUGGUCUGAGAGGACGAUCAGCCACACUGGGACUGAGACACGGCCCAGACUCCUACGGGAGGCAGCAGUGGGGAAUUUUGGACAAUGGGGGCAACCCUGAUCCAGCAAUGCCGCGUGAGUGAAGAAGGCCUUCGGGUUGUAAAGCUCUUUUGUCAGGGAAGAAACACCGGCUCUAACACAGUCUGGGAAUGACGGUACCUGAAGAAUAAGCACCGGCUAACUACGUGCCAGCAGCCGCCGUAA